CCAAAGCAGUCUCCACGGUGAGAAGGGGGAAAUGACGAUGUGAAGAAUCGCAGAGGCGGCUCUCCUCUUUGUCCUCCUCGGUGGCAACGAGCGCGAUUUGGUGAUCAAGUUUCACCAGGAAUCAAACUAAUGGUGCAUGGCCUGAAGAAUGUAUGGGGAUCAAUGCGUGCAGUAGUUUCCACAGCAUGUGAGUUUAUGGUACUAACAUCAAAAGGAGCCGCUGAUGAGAAUAUUGUAGAGCAAAGACUGCUCAAGGAGCUGUGCAAACAUGGCUUUUAAUAAAAUUGACUUGGAUAGGGAGUUUUCUUGGGCUAAAAGAUUAUGACCUGUAGCAGUCCAUGGAUGAGCUUUUUGGUUGUGUAUGAUGAAUAGAUUUUUGCCUUGAGAGCAGAGCUUCAGGUUCUCGUUAGCCUGUAACUCCUUGCUUCUUUUAUCACAUGCUUUAGUGAUCCUCGAUGCCUGCAAGAUUACUGAAACUAAUAUUUGAGAUUGGUAGCCCAAUUUUUUCUCUC